rnacentral:rRNA from 1 species
UACAGGGGGGGCAAGCGUUGUUCGGAAUUACUGGGCGUAAAGGGCUCGUAGGCGGCCAACUAAGUCCGACGUGAAAUCCCAAAGCUUAACUUUGGAACUGCGUCGGAUACUGGAUGGCUUGAAUUCGGGAGAGGGAUGCAGAAUUCCAGGUGUAGCGGUGAAAUUCGUAGAUAUGGGGAGGAACACCGGUGGCGAAGGCGACCAUCUGGACGGAUACUGACGCUGAGACGCGAAAGCGUGGGUAGCAAACAGG